AGAGUUUGAUCCUGGCUCAGAAUGAACGUUGGCGGCGUGGAUUAGGCAUGCAAGUCGAACGAGCCUCUGGGGGGUAACUCCUAGAGGAAAGUGGCGAAAGGGGCAGUAAUGUAUGGGUAACCUACCUUGAGGUCUGGGAUAGCUAUUCUAACGGAUAGGUAAUACCGGACGGCCUGAGUUGUCGGCAUCGAUGAUUUAGUAAAGGUUACGCCUCGAGAGGGGCCCAUAUGAUAUUAGCUAGUUGGUGAGGUAAUGGCUCACCAAGGCAAAGAUGUCUAGCGGGUGUGAGAGCACGACCCGCGUCACUGGCACUGAGACACUGGCCAGACUCCUACGGGAGGCUGCAGUCGAGGAUCUUCGGCAAUGGACGCAAGUCUGACCGAGCAACGCCGCGUGUGCGAUGAAGGCCUUCGGGUUGUAAAGCACUGUCGAGGGGAAACAAGCCGUAAGGUUGAGUGACCCCUGGAGGAAGCACGGGCUAAGUUCGUGCCAGCAGCCGCGGUAAGACGAACCGUGCAAACGUUAUUCGGAAUCACUGGGCUUAAAGGGCGCGUAGGCGGGUAAUCAAGUCAAUGGUGAAAGCCUCCAGCUUAACUGGAGAAGUGCCUUUGAUACUGAUUGUCUAGAGUGAGGUAGGGGCAUGUGGAACUUCCGGUGGAGCGGUGAAAUGCGUAGAUAUCGGAAGGAACGCCAGUGGCGAAAGCGAUGUGCUGGACCUUUUCUGACGCUGAGGCGCGAAAGCUAGGGGAUCAAACGGGAUUAGAUACCCUGGUAGUCC
rnacentral:rRNA from 1 species